rnacentral:rRNA from 1 species
AGUUCGGAUUGGAGUCUGCAACCCGACUCCAUGAAGCUGGAUUCGCUAGUAAUCGCGCAUCAGCCACGGCGCGGUGAAUACGUUCCCGGGCCUUGUACACACCGCCCGUCAAGCCAUGGGAGUCGGGAGUGCCUGAAGUUCGUGACCGUCACAGGAGCGACCUAAGGCAAGACCGAUGACUGGGGCUAAGUCGUAACAAGGUACC